UACGGAGGGUGCGAGCGUUGCUCGGAAUCACUGGGCGUAAAGCGUACGCAGGCGGAUCGUUAAGUCGGGUGUGAAAGCCCGGGGCUCAACCCCGGAAUUGCGCCCGAUACUGGCGAGCUUGAGUACGGGAGAGGGAUAGCGGAAUUCCUGGUGUAGAGGUGAAAUUCGUAGAUAUCAGGAAGAACACCAGUGGCGAAAGCGGCUUCCUGGCCCGAUACUGACGCUCAUGUACGAAAGCGUGGGGAGCAAACAGG
rnacentral:rRNA from 1 species